GCAGUCAACCAUUUUCUGCCGAAAAGUUUUAUCGCCGGCAUUUCUCUGUAGAGAAUAUAACGAUUUAUAAGAUUAUUUUCUUUACAAAGAUGGAGAUACUUUCGAGAAUAUUUCUUGCAAGUGGAAGAUUAUCAUUUUUUUCAGUUAUAACCUUGAUUUUAUCAAGAUUUUUAUUGAGAUCUCCAAAUGACAAUUCAUCAAUUAUCAAUUAAUAAUUUUGAUUGGAAAUAAACUUACUACUAAUGAAAGUUACUGUCGGAUAGUUACUUUCAAUGCAGUGUAUAUUUGCGAGAAAUAUUCAUGAGAGCAACUCUCCAGAGUUUUACUCUCAAAUGUACGUAUUCAUAGUCUAAGUCUUGCAUGGGUAGCGUUCUUUAGAAUUUAAUGUUUAUGUGCAUGAAGAAGGAACAAAUGACAAAAAGAAAAGAUUUAUAUAUUUAAAAAUCAGAUCAAUAAAAUUCUACAAUAUCUGAUUCAAAGAUUGAAAAAACACGUAAAAUUAAGCAGUGAUAUUUUAUGAUUAUAAAUUUUCAGAAUUUGAUAAUCCUUUGUAUAUAUUAUGGCAAAUAUAUGUAUUUUUCUUGAUAGUAAAUUACAAACUAGAGAAAGCG